rnacentral:ribozyme from 1 species
GAAAAAAAAAAAAAAAAAAAAAAAAAAA